AAACUACUGAAAAGAAAAUGUUUUUUCUGUAUACGUGAGAGUGUAUUGGUGAGCUAUGAAAUGAACCGGUCGGUAGGGAAAGUAACGGUGGGAAGGAAUGCACCAAC